rnacentral:rRNA from 1 species
CUACGGGCGGCAGCAGUGAGGAAUUUUGCGCAAUGGGGGAAACCCUGACGCAGCAACGCCGCGUGAGUGAAGAAGGCCCUUGGGUCGUAAAGCUCUGUCAAUGGGGAAGAAGUUGCUUGGUAUUAAUAGUGCCUUGUAUUGACGGUACCCAUGAAGGAAGCACCGGCUAACGUCCGUGCCAGCAGCCGCGGUAAUACGGGGGGUGCAAGCGUUAUUCGGAAUUAUUGGGCGUAAAGGGCACGCAGGCGGGCCUGUCAGUCAGAUGUGAAAGCCCGGGGCUCAACCCCGGACGUGCAGUUGAAACAGCAGGACUGGAGUACGGGAGAGGAAAGGGGAAUUCCUGGUGUAGAGGUGAAAUUCGUAGAUAUCAGGAGGAACACCGGUGGCGAAGGCGCCUUUCUGGACCGAUACUGACGCUGAGGUGCGAAGGCGUGGGUAGCGAACGGGAUUAGAUACCCGGGUAGUC